CCCUCGGUCGUCUAGUUGGUUUAUGGCGUCCGGCUGUAAUUGCUGUAGGUACCGGAAUGUCGCGCGUUCGACUCGCGCCUGAGGGA
rnacentral:tRNA from 2 species